AAAAUAAAUAUUUGUCAACGGAAGUCAAUUACUACAAACUAUCGAUAGCCACACAUACUAUCGAUGCAUUGAUAGUUUUUU